UAUCGGAUUGAUACUAAGCCAUGCGAGUCAUUGCAGUAAUGCAAGGCAAACGGCUCAGUAACGCGUAGUCAACCUACCCUAUGGACGGGAAUAACCUCGGGAAACUGAGUAUAAUGCCCGAUAGAACACUAUUCCUGGAAUGGUUUGUGUUCCAAAUGAUUUAUCGCCGUAGGAUGGGACUGCGGCCUAUCAGUUUGUUGGUGAGGUAAUGGCCCACCAAGACUAUUACAGGUACGGGCUCUGAGAGGAGUAGCCCGGAGAUGGGUACUGAGACACGGACCCAGGCCCUAUGGGGCGCAGCAGGCGAGAAAACUUUGCAAUGUGCGAAAGCACGACAAGGUUAAUCCGAGUGGUUUGUGCUAAACGAACCUUUUGACAGUCCUAGAAACACUGUUGAAUAAGGGGUGGGCAAGUUCUGGUGUCAGCCGCCGCGGUAAAACCAGCACCUCAAGUGGUCAGGAUGAUUAUUGGGCCUAAAGCAUCCGUAGCCGGCUCUGUAAGUUUUCGGUUAAAUCUGUACGCUCAACGUACAGGCUGCCGGGAAUACUGCAGAGCUAGGGAGUGGGAGAGGUAGACGGUACUCGGUAGGAAGGGGUAAAAUCCUUUGAUCUAUUGAUGACCACCUGUGGCGAAGGCGGUCUACCAGAACACGUCCGACGGUGAGGGAUGAAAGCUGGGGGAGCAAACCGGAUUAGAUACCCGGGUAGUCCCAGCUGUAAACUAUGCAAACUCAGUGAUGCAUUGGCUUGUGGCCGAUGCAGUGCUGCAGGGAAGCCGUUAAGUUUGCCGCCUGGGAAGUACGUACGCAAGUAUGAAACUUAAAGGAAUUGGCGGGGGAGCACCACAAGGGGUGAAGCCUGCGGUUCAAUUGGAGUC
rnacentral:rRNA from 1 species